GCAAGGUCAAAGACAAGUUGUGCUGUUUGCAGAAACGCGAAGAAAAGUAUGGAAAACAUAUUUAUUUAGGGGGAUUUGGUUACUCUUGCGUUUCGUUUGCUAAUAAACGAACAUGAUGCCUCAGUUAUCCAAAGAAAACAAAAGGCCUACCCAUGAUGACAUCAUAUUACUGAGAGAGGUCAUAGCAAAUGAUCCAUGUGCUUCUCAUGAGCCUGGAAAGAAGUGGGAUGCAAUUGCAUUUGCAACAGGACUUGAGGGGCCUUACGAGCCGACGUUGCAGGGAAAGAACAUCGCUUCUACUGGCCUGUUAUGAGAAAGAAGACACGGAUGCGCUGAAGAGAUCUGGCACCGAAGAGGAGGUAGAGAACCACCAGCUCCUUCAGGAAAUUAAAGACCUUCAUAUGGAGCAGGUGACGAGACUAGGAAAUGAAAACAAGAAAAAAGAGCAACAAAGGCAAAUUGGAGUGGAAACC